AUUAAAGAAAAGAGAGACCUCUGUUUUCCCGCCAUGAACGGAGAGGAGAUCGUCUUCUCAAAGACGCUUUCUGGUUAAUUUCCAAAACUGUGUAAUCGCCAUUUUUGCGGUUUAUUGAUUGGGUCUUUACUUUAUCGACAUUAUCACUUCUCACUUCCCUCUCCACUCUCCUGCUGUCCUCCGUCUGCGCUCCCUUCUCUGUCCACCGGAGGUCUUAGCGGUUGCGGCUGCCGGAAGUUCCUUAACUGGUGCAAUAUUCUCCUCCGGCUGCUCAUCGGCGGUUUAUCAAACAACCGGCUGCGUCUCCAAACUUCCCGGUGCGUGCUGAUUUUUUUUCUAGAGUUCAUCCAGAUCAAUGCUUCAUGGGAGAACAUGCAAAUUCGAGUACUUCGCGUGUUCAUAAUAAGAUGGGUCGUGCAAAGGCUGGUUCGAAAACUCGUUGUGGACUGUGCAAACAAUAUGUGGAUUACAGGCGUAAUUGCCCAAUCCCAAACGAAGAUGCUUCAUCUUGCACAAAUAACCACAGCUGAUACUUAUUUUUCCCUUUCAUUUAUAUCAAUAUCUUUCAUUUGCUCUCAUUUCAUGAUGGAUGCACCUUUUAUUUGUGGACUUCAUUUUGUUGCUUACUUUUCCACAGGUUUUAAGCUUUGGGGUCUUCCUUUAACCAUUGAAUGACUGGUGGAAAUUCUGAUGAUUUGGUUCAAACUUCGCAUAUGUGAAUCUUAUUUUGUUUGGAAGUUGGUGGACUCACUUUGUAAUGUAUUUUGUGUGUAUGACAUGUGAUGUAUUUCUACUUUAUGAAUUCUAAUUUAAGUUUUUUUCUUCUUCUUCUUCUUC